rnacentral:pre_miRNA from 1 species
AAAGUACUCCCUCCGUUCGGAAUUACUUGUCGCGAAAAUGGAUGUAUCUAGAUGUAUUUUAGUUCCAGAUACAUCCAUUUCCGAGACAAGUAAUUCCGAACGGAGGGAGUAGAAG